rnacentral:rRNA from 1 species
UACGGGGGGAGCAAGCGUUGUUCGGAUUUACUGGGCGUAAAGGGCGCGUAGGCGGCCAGCACAAGUCAGUUGUGAAAUCUCCGAGCUUAACUCGGAAAGGUCAACUGAUACUGUGCGGCUAGAGUGCGGAAGGGGCAACUGGAAUUCUUGGUGUAGCGGUGAAAUGCGUAGAUAUCGGGAGGAACACCUGUGGCGAAGGCGGCCACCUGGUUGGAUACUGACGCUGAGACGCGAAAGCGUGGGGAGCAAACAGG